CGUACAUGUAAAUAAAGAAAACAUCAUGGUUGUGCAAUUUAAAUACUGUAGGGAUAAUUAGUACUCUUAACACAAAUUAUUUGGAUAUUUCAGGAGUCUGCUAACAGUUAAACGGGAGCACCGAGAAAAACCUAAAAUCAUUAUGAUCAUUUUUACUAUCUAAAUAUGAUCUGGAUUUUCGUGGGGUUUUAUUUCCUGAUUUUGAUGAAAUAUCCAGUGUCUCCAGUAUUUUUCAUAAAAUUUUCAGGUUAUAAUAUCGCCAAUAGCAUUCGGAUCAGACUAAAUUAGGUUGUGAUAUUAAGAGGAGACAGAUUUUAUAUUAUAAACACGUUGGGCCAGACAAUCAAAAUGAACUGGUUAUCUGAUCAUAGACUGACACAUGAAAUUGAGUUAUAUUUUAUAUUUCAGUUGCAAAUUAUCAAAAUCAACCAAAAUUUCAUCUUUUCAACUAAAAAACACCAAAGAGUAGACAAAGUAAUAUGAUAAAUCAUCGACUCAUCAUACCAUUAUGUAUCAAGUCUUGUUGCUGUAGAACUAAAUACUUCUAAAGGAACUCGACAAAAAACAACUACAGGCACUUCAAACUGAUAACAACGCAGUGAGGAAAGAAACACCUUAUUCUCGAUUUCCCUCCCUUGGCAAGACGCAAAUCAUUCAGGUAGACAUACAGAUACAAACUACAACAAUGUGUGUAUGUUAAGACAAUUCUCUUUAAUAUUUUCACAUCAAACUUUCUGAUGGUUAUGUGAGGUAUUGGCUACUCAAAUGUUUGAUCACAGAUUUCUGUCACAAUCCCAUAUUUCAAAGUCUUCACAAUGAUAAAAGUUUAUGACAAAGAAUGCCAUGGCCAUGGUCUACCGUCUAAUCCAGAAAAUAAACACACGACGUCGGCUCCUCAUCUUAAUCUUCAACAUCCUAAUGUAGUAACAGCUGCCGUAGAA